rnacentral:rRNA from 1 species
AUUGAACGCUGGCGGAAUGCUUUACACAUGCAAGUCGAACGGCAGCACGUGGGCAACCCUGGUGGCGAGUGGCGAACGGGUGAGUAAUACAUCGGAACGUGCCCAAUCGUGGGGGAUAACGUAGCGAAAGCUACGCUAAUACCGCAUACGAUCUACGGAUGAAAGCGGGGGAUCGCAAGACCUCGCGCGAAUGGAGCGGCCGAUGGCAGAUUAGGUAGUUGGUGGGGUAAAGGCUCACCAAGCCGACGAUCUGUAGCUGGUCUGAGAGGACGACCAGCCACACUGGGACUGAGACACGGCCCAGACUCCUACGGGAGGCAGCAGUGGGGAAUCUUGCGCAAUGGGCGAAAGCCUGACGCAGCAACGCCGCGUGGGGGAUGAAGGCUCUCGGGGUUGUAAACCCCUUUCAGCAGGGACGAAUCAAGACGGUACCUGCAGAAGAAGCCCCCGGCUAACUACGUGCCAGCAGCCGCGGUAAU